GAUAAGCGCGGUUACAUUAGAGGGAGGAGGGUCGUGGGUUGAGGAUGUGGAGGAAAUGACGUCUGAGCUGUUCAAAGAGAUGGCAAAGCUGAUUUUGGAUACUGCAAGUGUAGGGGAAAAGGAUGUGUGGCGGAAAGGUGUAAUAGAUGUGAGCGAGAGAUAUGGAGUAGAUUUAGAGUGGCUGGAUAAAAGAGUGAGAAAAUGGAAGAUGAUAUCCUUUUAGUUGAUGGGAUAUUCACGCGUCUGUGAAGAUGUGAUACAUAUGCAGUUGUGCGAAGGUGGCAUUUUGGAGAGUGAGUGGUCGAAAGAGCUGGAAUCGUUGAGAUUGAGUGCAGAAAAAGUGAGAUUGCUUUUGGAGAGUUAUCGGAGAUAUGAAUCGGAGGGCGUAUCGCGCGUGUUACGUACGAACAGGCUGGUGGAUUUUGAGUCUAGGAUUGUGGUUUCUGCGGCGAGUUCCGAGCUGAAAAGUUUGAAUGGUUUGUCGGUUCAGUUGAGAUUGGUUGUUGAGACGAGUUAUGGCCUAAGGUGUGUGGCGUUUGAAUUGACGUUGGAACAAUUUUUCCGAGUACUAGAAAAUUUAGAGAACGCAAGGGCGAAGUUGGAGGGGGCGCAGGUCAGGAUUUGAAGGGAGUUAUUUUCAAAGGUGUGAUGGGCGUUUGGAGCUUUAAGAAUGUAUAUAUGCAAGAGCUAGAUGUGCGCACAUUUGAGAAGAGAGGAUAGCAGCGAAAGCGUUGGAAAGAGAAGGGUAUUUCAAGAACACUAACGUAGAGGAAAUUUGAAAGUUUUUAUUAUAUUAUAAUGUAAGUGAAGACAGAGAGAAAUGUUAAGAUGCUAAGAAA